GACGUAGGGGGCGGGCGUUGUCCGGAAUUACUGGGCGUAAAGAGCACGUAGGCGGAUAUUUAAGUCAGAUGUGAAAGACCGCAGCUCAACUGCGGGGUUGCAUUUGAAACUGGGUAUCUUGAGGGCAGAAGAGGGCAGUGGAAUUCCUGGUGUAGCGGUGAAAUGCGUAGAAAUCAGGAGGAACACCAGUGGCGAAGGCGACUGUCUGGACUGACCCUGACGCUGAGGUGCGAAAGCGUGGGUAGCAAACAGG
rnacentral:misc_RNA from 1 species